rnacentral:rRNA from 1 species
GAUGAACGCUGGCGGCGUGCUUAACACAUGCAAGUCGAACGAUGAAGCCCAGCUUGCUGGGUGGAUUAGUGGCGAACGGGUGAGUAACACGUGAGUAACCUGCCCUUAACUCUGGGAUAAGCCUGGGAAACUGGGUCUAAUACCGGAUAGGAGCGUCCACCGCAUGGUGGGUGUUGGAAAGAUUUAUCGGUUUUGGAUGGACUCGCGGCCUAUCAGCUUGUUGGUGAGGUAAUGGCUCACCAAGGCGACGACGGGUAGCCGGCCUGAGAGGGUGACCGGCCACACUGGGACUGAGACACGGCCCAGAGUCCUACGGGAGGCAGCAGUGGGGAAUAUUGCACAAUGGGCGCAAGCCUGAUGCAGCGACGCCGCGUGAGGGAUGACGGCCUUCGGGUUGUAAACCUCUUUCAGUAGGGAAGAAGCGAAAGUGACGGUACCUGCAGAAGAAGCACCGGCUAACUACGUG